rnacentral:rRNA from 1 species
UAAAAAAUUUUGGCGGUAUUUUAAGCUUAUUAGAGGAAUUUGCUCUGUGAUGGACACAACGCCUUAAUCUUACUUAAUUUAGUAAUUUAAAUCAGUUUGUAUACCACUAUAUUAAUUAUAUUGAAUAGUUAUAUUUAAAAUUUUUUAAAAAAAUAUAUUAAGUCAAGGUGCAUCUAAUAAUUAUGAAUGAAGUGAAUUACAUUAAUUUUAAUGUAAUUUUUUACAUGAAAAAAUUAAUUAGGAUUUAAUAGUAAAAUACUAAUAUUAUGAGUAUUUGAAUCAAGCUCUAAAAUAUGCACAUAUCGCCCGUCGCUCUCAGAAGUGAGAUAAGUCGUAACAAAGUAAAAAUACUGGAAAGUGUUUUUUAAAAUGAAAUCAUUUGAUGUUUCAUUUACAAUGAAAAUUUUGUUGUUUAACCAUUUUAA